rnacentral:rRNA from 1 species
UACGUAGGGUGCAAGCGUUGUCCGGCAUUAUUGGGCGUAAAGAGCUCGUAGGCGGUCUGUCGCGUCGGCUGUGAAAACCCGAGGCUCAACCUCGGGCCUGCAGUCGAUACGGGCAAACUAGAGUACUGCAGGGGAGACUGGAAUUCCUGGUGUAGCGGUGAAAUGCGCAGAUAUCAGGAGGAACACCGGUGGCGAAGGCGGGUCUCUGGGCCGUAACUGACGCUGAGGAGCGAAAGCGUGGGGAGCGAACAGG